rnacentral:rRNA from 1 species
CGCGUAGGCGGACAGUUAAGUCAGAGGUAAAAGCCCAGGGCUCAACCUUGGAACCGCCUUUGAUACUGGCUGUCUUGAGUACGGGAGAGGUGUGUGGAACUCCGAGUGUAGAGGUGAAAUUCGUAGAUAUUCGGAAGAACACCAGUGGCGAAGGCGACACACUGGCCCGUUACUGACGCUGAGGCGCGAGAGCGUGGGGAGCAAACAGAAUUAGAUACCCUGGUAGUCCACGCUGUAAACGAUGAGUGCUAGUUGUCGGCAGGCAUGCCUGUCGGUGACGCAGCUAACGCAUUAAGCACUCCGCCUGGGGAGUACGGUCGCAAGAUUAAA